GGGAUGGGGUGACUAGUGACAGAGUGAGGGAGGGAAGGGGUGACUAGUGACAGAGUGAGGGAGGUGGUGAUUAGUGACAGAGGGAGGGAUGGGGUGACUAGUGACAGUCACCACCUCCUUCACUCUGUCACUAGUCACCCCCUCCCUCACUCUGUCACUGUGUCACCCCCUUCCCCACUGUGUCACCCCCUUCCUCACUCUUUCACUGUGUCAACCCCUUCCUCACUCUCACUAGUCACCCACUCCCUCCCUCACUCUGUCACUAGUCACCCCCUCUCUC